ensembl:lncRNA
CAGGGCGAGAGAGCUGUGCAGGGAAGCACUGGGAUCACUCUCCUUGCUGCUGGUCUGGUCUGGUCUGUAAGGGUCUCUCUAUCAUCGCUGCUGGUCUGUAAGGGUCUGUAAGGGUCUCUCUCAUCGCUGCUGGUCUGGUCUGGUCUGUAAGGGUCUCUAUCAUCCCUGCUGGUCUGGUCUGGUCUGUAAGGGUCUCUCUCAUCCCUGCUGGUCUGGUCUGUAAGGGUCUCUAUCAUCGCUGCUGGUCUGUAAGGGUCUCUCUCAUCGCUGCUGGUCUGGUCUGGUCUGUAAGGGUCUUUCUCAUCCCUGCUGGUCUGGUCUGUAAGGGUCUUUCUCAUCGCUGCUGGUCUGUAAGGGUCUGUAAGGGUCUCUCUCAUCGCUGCUGGUCUGGUCUGGAAGGGUCUUUCUCAUCCCUGCUGGUCUGGUCUGUAAGGGUCUCUCAUCGCUGCUGGUCUGUAAGGGUCUCUCUCAAAGCUGCUGGUCUGGUCUGUAAGAGUCUUUCUCAUCGCUGCUGGUCUGGUCUGGUCUGGAAGGGUCUCUCUCAAAGCUGCUGGUCUGGUCUGGUCUGUAAGGGUCUCUCUCAAAGCUGCUGGUCUGGUCUGUAAGGGUCUCUCUCAAAGCUGCUGGUCUGGUCUGGUCUGUAAGGGUCUCUCUCAAAGCUGCUGGUCUAGUCUGGUCUGUAAGGGUCUCUCUCAUCCCUGCUGGUCUGGUCUGUAAGGGUCUCUCUCAAAGCCGCUGGUCUGGUCUGUAAGGGUCUCUCUCAUCCCUGCUGGUCUGGUCUGUAAGGGUCUUUCUCAUCCCUGCUGGUCUGGAAGGGUCUCUCUCAUCACGUCUGGUCUAGUCUGUAAGGGUCUCUCUCACCGCUGCUGGUCUGGUCUGUAAGGGUCUCUCUCAUCCCUGCUGGUCUGGUCUGGUCUGUAAGGGUCUCUCUCACUGCUGCUGGUCUGGGCUGGUCUGUAAGGGUCUCUCUCAUCCCUGCUGGUCUGGUCUGUAAGGGUCUCUCUCACCGCUGCUGGUCUGGUCUGUAAGGGUCUCUCUCAAAGCUGCUGGUCUGGUCUGGUCUGUAAGGGUCUCUCUCACCGCUGCUGGUCUGGUCUGGUCUGUAAGGGUCUCUCUCACCGCUGCUGGUCUGGUCUGGUCUGUAAGGGUCUCUCUCACCGCUGCUGGUCUGGUCUGGGCUGGUCUGGUCUGUAAGGGUCUCUCUCAUCCCUGCUGGUCUGGUCUGGUCUGGAAGGGUCUCUCUCAUCGCUGCUGGUCUGGUCUGGUCUGUAGGGGUCUCUAUCUUCGCUGCUGGUCUGGUCUGGUCUAUAAGGGUCUCUCUCAAAGCUUCUGGUCUGGUCUGUAGGGGUCUCUAUCAUCACUGCUGGUCUGGUCUGGUCUGUAAGGGUCUCUCUCAAAGCUGCUGGUCUGGUCUGGAAGGGUCUGGUCUGGUCUGAAAGGGUCUCUCUCAUCGCUGCUGGUCUGGUCUGGUCUGUAAGGGUCUCUCUCAUCCCUGCUGGUCUGGUUUGUAAGGCUCUCUAUCAUCCCUGCUGGUCUGGUCUGGUCUGUAAGGCUCUCUAUCAUCCCUGCUGGUCUGGUCUGGUCUGGAAGGGUCUCUCUCAAAGC